UACGUAGGGGGCUAGCGUUGUCCGGAAUUAUUGGGCGUAAAGCGCACGUAGGCGGCUUAGCAAGUCGGAAGUGAAAUCCCUCGGCUCAACCAAGGAAGUGCUUUCGAAACUGCUGAGCUUGAGUACUAAAGAGGAUCGCGGAAUUCCCGGUGUAGAGGUGAAAUUCGUAGAUAUCGGGAGGAACACCAGUGGCGAAGGCGGCGAUCUGGGUAGAUACUGACGCUGAGGUGCGAAAGCGUGGGGAGCAAACAGG
rnacentral:rRNA from 1 species